rfam:Sorghum bicolor cultivar BTx623 chromosome 8, whole genome shotgun sequence.
GUAGUCGGAUUCACGUUAAUCCACAUGUGUUGAUGUGGAUUUGUGUGGAACUUGAACUAAAUUUCACUCCACCCACACCAACACAUAUGGAUUGAAGUGAAUCCGAUA